rnacentral:rRNA from 1 species
AACGAACGCUGGCGGCAGGCUUAACACAUGCAAGUCGAACGGGUGUAGCAAUACAUCAGUGGCAGACGGGUGAGUAACACGUGGGAACCUUCCUAGGGGUACGGAACAACUCAGGGAAACUUGAGCUAAUACCGUAUACGUCCGUGAGGAGAAAGAUUUAUCGCCCUUAGACGGGCCCGCGUCGGAUUAGCUAGUUGGUGGGGUAACGGCCUACCAAGGCGACGAUCCGUAGCUGAUCUUAGAGGAUGAUCAGUCACACUGGGACUGAGACACGGCCCAGACUCCUACGGGAGGCAGCAGUGGGGAAUCUUGGACAAUGGGCGCAAGCCUGAUCCAGCCAUGCCGCGUGAGUGAAGAAGGUCUUCGGAUUGUAAAGCUCUUUUGCCAGGGACGAUAAUGACGGUACCUGGAGGAUAAGCCCCGGCAAACUUCGUGCCAGCCGCCGCGGUAAAAC